GGCCUACCAUGGUGGUAACGGGUAACGGGGAAUUAGGGUUCGAUUCCGGAGAGGGAGCCUGAGAAACGGCUACCACUUCCAAGGAAGGCAGCAGGCGCGCAAAUUACCCAAUCCCGACACGGGGAGGUAGUGACAAUAAAUAACAAUACGGGGCUCUUUCGGGUCUCGUAAUUGGAAUGAGUACAAUUUAAAUCCCUUAACGAGGAACAAUUGGAGGGCAAGUCUGGUGCCAGCAGCCGCGGUAAUUCCAGCUCCAAUAGCGUAUAUUAAAGUUGUUGCAGUUAAAAAGCUCGUAGUUGAAUUUCGGGAUUGACGUAAUGGUCAUGCCUUAAGGGGUAUGAACUGUUACUGUUGAUUUCUCACCUUCUGGAAAAACUUGAUGUCCUUAAUUGGGUGUCUUGCGGAUCCAGGACCUUUACCUUGAAAAAAUUAGAGUGUUUAAAGCAGGCAUUUUGCUCGAAUACAUUAGCAUGGAAUAAUAGAAUAGGACGGCAUGGUUCUAUUUUGUUGGUUUCUAGGAUCACCGUAAUGAUUAAUAGGGAUAGUUGGGGGCAUUAGUAUUCAAUUGUCAGAGGUGAAAUUCUUGGAUUUAUUGAAGACUAACUACUGCGAAAGCAUUUGCCAAGGAUGUUUUCAUUAAUCAAGAACGAAAGUUAGGGGAUCGAAGACGAUCAGAUACCGUCGUAGUCUUAACCAUAAACUAUGCCGACUAGGAAUCAGACGAUGUUAAUUUUUUAAUGACUCGGUUUGGCACCUUACG
rnacentral:rRNA from 1 species